UAGUAGCCAUACUGUAAACUAAUGUUGGCAGUUACAUUUUGGUUUCUUGAUCUUUUGUGUAUACAGCAUAUAUACACUACAUUCAUCACAAACUUGUUAUUGUCUGCUCUUCAACCAGAAAUUCUCUUUUAUUUUCAGGAACAUUUCUAUGACAUGCAGAGCAACAAAGGCUUUCUUGAGUGAUGUAUAAAAACUGUGCAGCGUCAAUCUAAAACCCCAUCUGCAUCUCGUAGCAGAGUGGAGCUGAAAGGAGGUCCCACAUCGGCAAGAACGUCUAGAUCCACAGAUGACCAGCAAACAGGAGAUGAAUGUAUGGAGGUCAUGUCUCUUCUUCACCACAUUACUGACCAUGACUUAGUCCAGAAGAUUUCAAGUGGGACAGCAACAUGGCAUCUCUUCUUGUAUUGCACCAUCUGCUAACUCCUCAACCAGAAGCAGCCCAAAAAGAUCAGCGUUGGAGAGGCUACUGAUCAUAUGGUUACAUUUCACAAGUCUUGCCACAGCCUUGAAGAACACCUCAUGACUAUUAAAGGAAACCCCCAGCCGUAUCUGCUGGCCACAGGGACUUUGGC